CGCAUCUGUGCAUGCAGCAUAUCAAUAAGCGGAGGAAAAGAAACUAACAAGGAUUCCCCUAGUAACGGCGAGUGAAGCGGGAAGAGCUCAAAUUUGAAAUCUUAAAGGGUUUCCCUUUACGAAUUGUAGUUUAAAGAAGUGUUUUCUGUUGAGGUUUUGGUAAAAGUUCUUUGGAAUAGGACAUCAUAGAGGGUGAGAAUCCCGUAUUUGACCUUUACUUUCAACUUUGUGAUACACUUUCAAAGAGUCGGAUUGUUUGGGAAUGCAGUCCAAAAUGGGUGGUAAAUUUCAUCUAAAGCUAAAUAUUGGCGAGAGACCGAUAGCGAACAAGUACCGUGAGGGAAAGAUGAAAAGAACUUUGAAAAGAGAGUUAAACAGUACGUGAAAUUGUCAAAAGGGAAGCGUUUGGCACCAGUGUUGUUUUUCUGAAAAUCAAUUAAAGAACUGUUUAUGCUAAGCUGUUUAGACUUUAUCAGCUAACUGUUUAGUUUUGAGCUUUUCUUUAAUGCACUUUUCAGUUAACAAGUCAACAUCAAUUUCUAUUGCUGUAAAAAAGCUUGAGGAAGGUGGCUUGAGAUUCGUCUUAAGUGUUUAUAGCCUCUUGCCUAUGCAGUCGGAGAGAUUGAGGUCUGCAGCGUAGAUCCUUCGGGGCUAAAUGCAUUUGUGCUAAGUUAUAGCAUUUUAUAGACAACUUGUUGACUAUGAUUUGUCUUGUAGCUUACUCGCUUAUGUUAUUUUACCUACGCUUAGGAUGUUGAACGCGCACAGAGUCUC
rnacentral:rRNA from 1 species